rnacentral:rRNA from 1 species
UACAGAGGGUGCAAGCGUUAAUCGGAAUUACUGGGCGUAAAGCGUGCGCAGACGGUCUCGUAAGUCAGGUGUGAAAGCCCCGGGCUCAACCUGGGAAUUGCAUUUGAGACUGAAUAGCUAGGGUGCGGAAGAGGGAAGCGGAAUUUCCGGUGUAGCGGUGAAAUGCGUAGAUAUCGGAAGGAACACCAGUGGCGAAAGCGGCUUCCUGGUCCAGCACCGACGUCAGGCACGAAAGCGUGGGGAGCAAACAGG